GGGGCUUUCUUCUGUGACCUGGUACUUAUCUACAUCAUCAAAAAGAGAGAGUUUUACCGUGACAAAAAGUACGAGGAAGUGAGGGGCCGAGAGCAUGCGGCUCGGGAGGCCAAGGCUGAGGCUGAGACAGAGGUGAUGGAGCGGCCACCGACCAAGGAGGAGCAGCCCCAGGCCCUGUCACAGAGCUGCAGCUGGAAGGGGAAUGGCGGCGUGUGCGGAAAGCUCCCUCAUUCCUCCAGGACUGGCGUCUUAAAGAAGGAAAAGGUGAACGUACGGCAAGUGCAGACUUUGCAGACAGCGGGGACGUAGCCAGAACUGAUGGCUGAGAGAAGAUUCAAAGAUGUUGGGGCCACAACCAGUCUGCAUCUUGGAACUGGGAAGAUGUAUUUUGUGCCUGUAUGGGACAGGGGCUUCUGGAAACAGACAUCUCUCUUGUACCUUGGGAUCCUGCAAUAAGCUUUUUUUUGUAAGGAGAGGAGCCUCCUGUUUGCCAGAGUGGGCCACAUCCAGAAGAAGAGGCCCUGGGGCUGGCACCCAGGGAAGGGAGCAGGCUAGAGGCCUGGGUGGUACUGAUAGGACACUCAUUUAUUCAUCCAUACAGUAAACAUUGAUGCAUGUUUUCAUGCUGGGCCCUAAGAGAUGCUUUAAUAAGACGCUGAGCUAGCCCUCAGGAAGGGGAAUGUGGAACUCCCCUUAAAACCAACCGAUAGUACAGCCAGGUCUGGCCACUCUGGCUUUCUUUUGGCCUCUGAGACUUUUACAAGUCACAGUAGAAAAUGUUUGUUGCUCAGAAAAAGUUGAGGACAGUAUCAAGGGGACAUCUAGCCUUCCCCUAGGUGUAAAAGUUAAAGGUGGCCAAGGAGGAACUGGAAACAGAAUGGGCCAGUCAGGAGACAGCUGGCUCCUAAGGGGAGAGUCCACCUCUGGGGUCUUCUAGUUAAGAUGGGCAAGGGGGAUAAGAGGUUUGGCUCCAUUCUGGCCUUCUGGUAGGUGCGUUGGCCUGUAUGGUUGUUCUUGCUGUUCUCUGGGGCUGGGUGACACUGUCUGGCUAUCUCACUGCUGUCCUCAGAGGCUUCAUUUUAAGUGUUAAAGAGAUAAAGGAUGCACUGCCUCAGCAGGUGUAAAGUUCUCAGGGAUCUUGCCUUCCCCCACCUCACCAUCCCUACCCCAGCUCACUCUCCCUGCCUGGCUACUCCAAGGAGGGUCCCCGGACCAGCAGCAGCAAGGGCAUCACCAGGAUUUGUUAGAAACACAGCUUCAGCCUUCUCCUUCAUCUCAGCAAACCAGAUCCUGGAUUUUCCUAAGACCUUGAGGUGGUUUGAGAGCACAUUGUUUGAGAAGCCCUGGUUCUUGGAGGAAAAAGGCCAGCUUCUGGGUGCAAAGCUUCUAUAUCAGCAUUAUACACAUGCAGCCUCGAGACCAAGGGGUCCCUCUCCCACCCCUACCCCCAGCCCCAAAGCAGCAUUUUGUUCAGUUACUUGAAUUAAAAUAUUUUGACUAGUCAGUACUUACAUGAUUGAAACUUUAAAAGGCAUAAAAGAAUAAAGUGUCCCUCCUACCUCUGUUCUCCAUAGACCAACAGCAUUUCUAACUUCAGAACACUCCCUUAGUUUGCUAAGAAUCAUUUGGUUACCUUUGCAGUCCCCUAGGAAAUAAUCUUUUCCAGUAACACCGAGUCUUCUGUCAGAGAUGGAUAUGAAUACACUUAAAUCCUAGACUUGGAUCCAGCUACCUCAGUUCUCCCCGUCUCAUUUUGUGGGGCGAGUCCCUUCAGGACCCAAGGGCUCAUUACAGUUGUCUACAUUGCCUGGCACUACAGACCUUAAGUCCCGCCCCCUUUCCUCCUGGCUAGAAUGCUGGGCACCGUUGUUUUUUUUUUGUGGGUGGCUUGUGGCUUCCUAGGCGCCAGGGGGUGUCUUCUUUGGAAGGGGCAUUUUCUGUGCACAUGGGCUGAGGAGCAGCCUUCCACUAAGGACUUUCUAGGACAGAAGGGGCCCGGUAGAAGUUGCUGCCACUCAGGCAGAAUGGUAUGGUGCCCAGAGUGGGAUCUGUUAUAGAGAAAACUGGCUUCUUGACAUUGGGUUCCCCGGGAGCCAGGAGUCCAUGAGCCAACCUGAAUAGAAAGUGAAACAUCCAGGUGAUCCCCAUAAAGGUUGCACUUCAUCACUAAAGCCAACUGUGUUUUAUAACCUAGUGUGUUAUGUUUGUGUUGGGAGGAAGUAAGAGAGGCAAGGGUCAUGGCUGCUUAGGGAUUAGUCUGCUUCCUUUCUAACUUGGUGUUAA